CACUGUUAACAGAGGAGGUGCCUGCGCGUCCAAUUCUCCCUGAAAGCCAGCCCUGUUUUCUGUGCCUCAUGGCAGACACAUGAGUGAUUUAUUGCUCCUAACAUCUCUUAGUUUGUAAUAAAGUUUUCAGCAGCUCUUUUUAGCUGCUGCAACCUCUGCCCCUGCAAACACUCUCUCUUUCUCUUUUUCUCUCUCUCUUUCACACACACACACAUUCUGACUUCACUUUGUUCUUUUUCCACAUAAUGUCAACUCAUAAAGCUUUCAUCAAGUCAACCAGGUGGAAAAAUCCCUUUUGCUGAAAGAAGCCUUCAUUCCGGUCUAGGUGGUGGAGGAGAGUCACUGGGCAGGAGAGGGGAUCAGCAGACAAGGUGGGGAAGAGAAGAAAGUGUGCUGCUGAUGGGAAAAGUUUUAUGUGUGAUGAGAGUUGGGCUUCCUUGGCUUGGAGGAAAUGUGCUUAACUGCCACCAUCUCAACCCUCAACCGUGAACCAGACAGAACUGAAUUCUUUCACCACGUGGGCAGCUUGGCGUUUGACUUCCACAUAACAGCGUGGCCUCCACCAAAGUCCUGGAGAGUCUACAGGAGGAAAGGAGAGGCUGCCACAUUUGGCUGGGACUGGUCACGUGAUGUAACAGGAGAUAGGACCUGGACAUUACUGGGGAGCAUUUUUCUGUCUACUACAGUGCCCUCUAUGAAAUCCCAUGGUACAUGCCUACAAGGACACAUACCCUGGCAAUAUAAUUCAACCAGGCAAGAGCUGCUACAACGUGAUGUACUGUUGAUCAACACCUACCUUCGUUCACUCUUCAACCUCAGCUCACCUCUUGUGAGUAGCUAAAGAAGAAGCACAAGAUGCACCUGGACCACAGCCUUCUUGCUUUCAAGGACUAGCAUGUCUUGAAACCAGGGGUGAUGCUGCUAGGCUAGACAUUGUAUUUACAGAAGAGAAAAAAAAUCAAGCAUGGUCUCUUCCCUCGAGGAGCUUAUGGGCCAGUUUAAGAAACAAAUAUUAAACAAGUAAUCAUGCAAAGGAACAUAUAGUAACCCCAUAUUCUGAUAAACAUUACAGAUAAAGCUUUUCUAUAUAAUCCAGAACAAUGAGCAGAGGCAAGGUUUACAUUGGGCUAUCAGGAGUGGCUUCAUGGGUAGCUGAGAAGUAAAUGUUGGAUAGGGCUUGGACAAAAAUCAAUUGGGAGGGAGGGGAGCUUUCCUGGAACAGCACAUGCAAAGAUCCUGGAGCUGGAAAGAGCUUAGGUAUUUGAAUACCUGAAUGAUGGGCAGUGUCACCCCAUCACUCAUCUGUCAGUCCUCUCAUGUUUUCCUUCUAGGAGGGAGUUCACUUAUGUUCUGCAUGUCCAUGUGAAAUAUCUGUUUGCUACGGAGUUGUAAAUAAACAGACUGAUUGUAUAAAUGUGUAAUUGUUCAUGUCCUAUAAUCUGCUUUCCUAUAAUCAGGUCAUAAACUCCUGGUGAACUUGCCUGCAGAAUUGAAAGAUUCUUACCCUUUAGCAUAAAAUACAGACAACCACCAUCUGUCCUAACCCAGAUUA
rnacentral:lncRNA from 10 species